UACGUAGGGGGCAAGCGUUGUUCGGAAUUACUGGGCGUAAAGGGCUCGUAGGCGGCCAACUAAGUCGGACGUGAAAGCCCCCGGCUCAACUGGGGAGGGUCACGCGAUACUGAUCGACUCGAAGGCAGGAGAGGGUAGUGGAAUUCCCGGUGUAGUGGUGAAAUGCGUAGAUAUCGGGAGGAACACCAGUGGCGAAGGCGACUACCUGGCCUGUUCUUGACGCUGAGGCGCGAAAGCUAGGGGAGCAAACGGG
rnacentral:rRNA from 1 species